ACUAUUUAUUUUUUUAAAUAGGAUAUUGGCGCUGGCAGAUGAAAUAUGUCCAGCCGAAACGAUCUGGUGUUGCUUCAUACCUUCAAUUUGUCGUCGGUGCGAUGUUUUUUUCUACGUUAUUAAUUAUGGAAAAAUAAGUAACUAUUU
rfam:Strigamia maritima strain Brora ctg7180001232469, whole genome shotgun sequence.